GUGGCGACCCCAAAUCCGGGUACUUGCAACCCGAACUCGAUUCUCCACGAUACCAUUUCUUUAAGCUGAAUAAUACUAAAUGAUAAUAUAAUUCGAACUUAAUUUACAUACAUCAAAGUUUACUUCCCCAGGUACGUGACCUUCAAAAUACAUUCCUUACGAUACCUGACAAUAGAUUUCAUUGUCUUACUAACUAUAACCAUUAACUCAUACUAAUUCUCAUUCGAACAGCUUUUC
rnacentral:lncRNA from 1 species